rnacentral:RNase_MRP_RNA from 1 species
CCCUCGCUCGACAAAUCGCCAUUCGAAGCUUACAGACAGACACUGGGCCUCGCCCAGCGUCGCGCUCGCUUUGGGAGAAAGUCCCCGGACGACUUUCCUCGGAAAGCACGCGGAAACGCACCGCCAUAGAAGCACUGCGGUUGACCUCCUGCGCCUCGGCUCUCAUCGCCGCCCACCCGCCCCGUCUGUCGCUACAUCCGUCUCUACCCCCCCUCGUCUCCUUCUCCUCUCGCUCUACGUGAGCUUCCCGUAUUGUGCACCCAUCUUCGCACCCUCUCUCUGCUGUUGCUCUGUUUCUCCCCUCACGCACCCCAUGGAUGAAGAUACGAGUCCGCGGCGUGGGAGAGGUUCGGAAGUACACAGAGUCGGGGUGCGGACCUGGGUGUCCGCGAGUCGCAAGCGCUCGGUGGGGGAAAAGGUGUGAGGCAUACAGGGCGGAUGGCAGGUGGACGCUGGGUUGCGGCGUGUCUGCAUCGGGUGCUAGAGGAUUUUGUUGUCGAGGUUGAUAGGUAUGCGAUUGCCCGGCCGCAUCUCGGCCGGGUUACUCGAUGGGGCUCAUUCUCGAGGCGAGG